UUUGCUGAGGAACAGGGUGGGAUACGAGCAAAGGCUCUGGGAAUAACUAAACAAGUGGACUUCACAAUGUUUACUGCAUACUAUCACGAAUAACAAACAGUUUAGAGUGAAGGCAGCUAUGGCUACAACAUCCCAAAGAAGAAAAUGUUGUAAUGACCCAGAUAUAUUUUGCUAUAUCUGUGGGAACUUCACUUUGAAGGACCAAAGGCGCCACAUAAAUACCUUUGUCAAGAAGGCGUACCUGGAGACCAGGACAAAAUAUGACAAAACAUCAUUAAUGAUCCUCUUGUUCAGAGAAAAAAGAUUGUCCUACCUCCACUGCACAUAAAACCUGGUUUGAUGAAACAAUUUGUUAAAGCCCUGCAUCACAAUGGAGACUGCUUCCGCCACAUAUGUUCAACCUUUCCAAGUCUGAGUGACGAGAAGAAAAAGGCAGGAAUAUUUGAUGGACCUCAGAUAAGAACACUCCUCAGAGAUGCCCACUCUGUGACAACAAUGAACACGAAAGCUUGGAAUGCUUUCUCUGAUGUGUUAAAGAAUUUCCUUGGGAACAGGAAAGCUGACAACUACCAAGAGAUUGUGGAGGAACUGCUCUUGAGUUUUCAAUCACUUGGAUGUAAAAUGAGUAUCCCGUUGCACUACUUAGAUUGUCACUUGAGUGAGUUUCCAGAGAACCUGGGUGAUGUUAGUGAAUAACAAGGUGAAUGCUUUCAUCAAGACAUUAAAGUAAUGGAAGAACAUUACCAAGGCAGAUGGGACUCCAAUAUGAUGGCUGAUUACUGUUGGAGCUUGAGGGAUGUGCCAAACACUGAGGAUCAUAGAAUGUCAAAGAAGAGGAAGUUAAUGCAGCUGUAGCUCGAUCUAAACUAAUAAACUUAUUGUAUCUU